GUGUCAGCAGCCGCGGUAAUACAGAGGUCCCAAGCGUUGUUCGGAUUCACUGGGCGUAAAGGGUGCGCAGGUGGGUUUGCAAGUUCGAUGUGAAAGCCCCGGGCUUAACCCGGGAAUGGCAUUGGAUACUGCAGAUCUGGAGGAUCGGAGGGGGGACUGGAAUUCUUGGUGUAGCAGUGAAAUGCGUAGAUAUCAAGAGGAACACCAGUGGCGAAGGCGAGUCCCUGGACGAUACCUGACACUGAGGCACGAAAGCUAGGGGAGCAAACAGGAUUAGAUACCCGCGUAGUCC
rnacentral:rRNA from 1 species